AGCAGUGUGGCUCAGUGGAAAGAGCACGGGCUUUGGAGUCAGAGGUCAUGAGUUUGAAUCCCAGCUCUGCCA
rfam:Ornithorhynchus anatinus chromosome 12, whole genome shotgun sequence.